GGAGGAGUCAAUGCAAAACUCUGAUGUCUUCUACCUACAAGAGGAGGAAAGAGAGCAGAGGACACACACAGUUAAACAUGAGGCACUGCAGGACAGGACUGCUGCUUCUAACUAUCUGCUGGGCAGGCGUUUCCAGUCAGACUCUGAGUGAGUCUGAACCAGCGCUGAAGCUCCCAGGAGAAUCCCAUAAACUGACCUGUACCUAUGCAGGAAUAUCAGAUGGUGAUGCUCCUAUCAGCUGGAUCAGACAAGCUGAAGGAAAAGGACUGGAGUGGAUCGCCCACAUUUCUGCUCCCAGUGGACAAAAUAAAUAUUAUUCCACGUCUGUCCUGAAUCGUUUCACCAUUUCCAGAGACAACGCCGUGGACCAGGUGUCUCUGCAGAUGAACAGUCUGACGACUGAAGACUCUGCUGUUUAUUAUUGUGCUCGGAGGCCACAGUGAUGCAGGAAGCCACACAACUGUACAAACACUUCACCCAUCUCACUGUGUCAGUCGCUGAUACUAAGGAUUUAUAAAAUACCCCCUAGUGUUGAUUGUUGGAACCAGGGGGAGACACUGGAAGGAUGGACUAGAUAAACUAGAAGUUCAUUCAAAGUUAAUUUUAAUCAUAUUCAGCAAACGUACUAUCUCACUGAAAAGUAAUUAAGGUAACAAAUAUGUUUUCACUCCUUACGUUUUUGUCCUUUCUGCAAGUUGUGUGCAAGUAGAGUGUCAGGAACGGGGAAGGCAGAGGCAGGCGGGAGGACCCAAACACUGACUUGCAAACAAAAAGGUACUUUUAAUAAUCAAACUCUGAAACUACAAAAUCACAAAGGCCAACAGGAACAAAACGCAGACGAAGACCAGGAACAAACAUCCAUGCAGAACAUGCAGAACACACACAGGCUGCAGGCUGCAUACAUGCAAUGACGCCACCAGGGGCACAAGACACACAGGGCUUGAAUACACAGGGGAGGUGCAGGUGAUUGGACACAGGUGGAAACAAUCAUGGACACUGCAGACAAUCACAGGGGAUGACAGGACAAGGCAGGAAGUGAAGUUAACACAGGGACACAG